CCUUGCUCAGCCUAUUCUCGUCUCCUCUAUUCACUUCCCUGUCUUUCUACACUUAAGAUAGCUACCGCUAUCUUAAGUGUAGAGAGGCCUUUUUCCUCAUUUUACGUUCUUGCUCCCACUUUACCUCUGUCUCCCUAGUCAUAUGUUUUAAGGCCAUUUGGCCUGUAUUUGUGGGAGGGGCUUAAAUUAAUUCACUCCCCUAUAUAAGGGACACCCCUUACCUGACUCAUAUCGCUUGAGGUCAGCAUCAGAAUGAUU